rnacentral:tRNA from 1 species
GCCCUGAUAGUAUAAAUAUUACUUUGGUCUUGUAAACCAAAAACAAGGAAUAAAUCCUUUCAAGGCA